CUCAAAUCCUGCAAUGUCUGAGAUGGACAGCCCUCCACCUUGCCUUGUCCAGGCCCUUCCUUGUUCAUAUUGGGGCUCUGGGGCCCUGGGUGGACAAGGCUCACACAGGGAGUUUGGGGCAGAGCAUGGCCUGGAGUCCAGGCCCCCUGACCCUUAGCCCAGUGUAUUUUUGAUUAAUGUUAGAAAGAAUGGUCUUAGAAUAGGACCCUUAUUUGGAAAGAAAACCUGAUGAAUGAGUACCCCUGGUUUACUCUACACUGAACAGGUGGAUUUUUCCAGAGCUGGGCCACCCUGGGGGGUGGGUGGUCACCUGCAGCUGCCCUGGGAGAUGAGCAGCUCUGUGAAUCCCGGAUUCUCUUCUCUGACACAGGCAGAGCAUCCUUCCUCUUGGGCCUCACUCCAUCCUGUGAUGGUCCAGGCUUCCGGGCGGAAGAGCACAGAGGACUUCCUUCCAUGAGGGCCUCUCCACCCUUCCUCUGAGAGGUGGCCCUGCAGUCUUCAACACGGAGAAAGUCAGGGGGCUGAGGGUGAGUGAAAGGCCAUUUCCUUUGCCCGGCCUGUCACCUGCUCCAGGAGAGGUAGGUGGCUCUCCUCACAGUCCUGGAGAUGCCUGCCCGGACUCUGGCCCAGGUGGCCUUCCUGAUGCGCCGGCUGAGAGUGCUGGGACCUGUCAGAGCAGCUGACACCUGCUUAUUCAGUCACCCUGAGAAAAACCUAGAAUCAGCUUCAGAUACGGAUUGCACGGUGGAGGAAUUAAAGGAAAGGAGGCCAUUAACUUCAGAUGUCCGGUGGCCAGAGUUCCCAAACAGAGAAGAACCGUGCCAGGGGCUUGGCCAGGACUGCCCUCAGGACAAGCACGCUGUGUCACAAAUGAGGAGUCCACCACACCAAAGAAUUACGGAGUCUACGACAUGCGCAGUGGGAAUGAUGAAAAGCCCUGAGACAGCCCCAUCCAGGACAGCAGGGAAG
rnacentral:lncRNA from 1 species